UACGUAGGGUGCAAGCGUUGCCCGGAUUUAUUGGGCGUAAAGGGCGCGUAGGCGGCUCGGCACGUCCGUUGUGAAAUCGCCCGGCUCAACUGGGCGGGGUCAGCGGAUACGGCCGAGCUUGAGCAAGCUAGGGGGCAAUGGAAUUCCCGGUGUAGCGGUGGAAUGCGUAGAGAUCGGGAAGAACAUCAGUGGCGAAGGCGGUCUGCUGGGCCGUUGCUGACGCUGAGGCGCGACAGCGUGGGGAGCAAACAGG
rnacentral:rRNA from 1 species